AUUCUAGUAGCUUAAUA
rnacentral:tRNA from 4 species